GACGAAUGCUGGCGGCGUGCUUAACACGUGCAAGUCGAACGAUGAACCCGGAGCUUGCUCCGGCGGAUUAGUGGCGAACGGGUGAGUAACACGUGAGUAACCUGCCCUUGACUCUGGGAUAACUGCUAGAAAUGGUAGCUAAUACCGGAUACGACCCUCGGUGGCAUCAUCAGGGGGUGGAAAGAAUUUCGGUCAAGGAUGGACUCGCGGCCUAUCAGCUAGUUGGUGAGGUAACGGCUCACCAAGGCGACGACGGGUAGCCGGCCUGAGAGGGUGACCGGCCACACUGGGACUGAGACACGGCCCAGACUCCUACGGGAGGCAGCAGUGGGGAAUAUUGCACAAUGGGCGCAAGCCUGAUGCAGCAACGCCGCGUGAGGGAUGACGGCCUUCGGGUUGUAAACCUCUUUUAGUAGGGAAGAAGCGAAAGUGACGGUACCUGCAGAAAAAGCACCGGCUAACUACGUGCCAGCCGCCGCCGUAA
rnacentral:rRNA from 1 species